rnacentral:lncRNA from 13 species
AUGGAGCCAAGCCCGGUCCCACGGGAGGGACCGGCAGCCCCCGGCCCGGACACCCCCGUGGCUGCCGCGCUGUCACGGCACUUGGGGAGCACAGAACGGGCCCCCGGCUCUGCGAGGAGCGUGGGGAAGGCGCCGUCUCCUGGGGGGCGGGGAGGGGGCGAGGCAGCCCCGGAGCCCCCGAGAACAGAGCGGGGGGCAAAGAGAACCCGAGAGCCCCCCAGAGCCCAAACAGGGCCGCGGGGGCAGCGCGGGGACCGCCCUCUGCCGCCGGUAAGGGGGAAAGGGACCCCCGCAGGCUCCCCCAAGGCCGGGGAGAGAACGGAGCCCCCGCGGCAUCUUUACAGCCGGGGGCGAACACGAGCCCUGCCCGCGCCGGGGCGGCCCACACACCCCCUCAGCCCCUUCCUCUCUGUCCCCCGUGUCCUCCCUCCGCCGUUCCCCGCAGGGGAACCCCCGGCCCGGCCUGGCCCCCACCACCUUUCGGCAUCGCGGCGAUGGCGGCGCGGCCCCCCCGGCCCGAGCGGCGCCCGGAACCGGAACCGGAACCGCCCCCACCCGCAGGGCCCCGCCGCUGGGCUGCCCGCAGCGCCGCCGCUCCCGCCGCCCGCGCCGUCCCUCCCGGUGCUCCCGCAGCGCGGAGCGGGGCCGGGGCCGGUUCCUUCCCGGCGGUUUCUCGCCUCUCUCGGGGGUGCGGCGGGGCGGGCUCCGGUCAGGCAGCGCGCAGGGCAGCCCAGGAGGCGGCGCGGCUGCGAGAGGCCCCCGGGUGACGGCGGCGGCGGCGCGACGGGAGCGGGCGGUGAGCGGGGCUGGGACCGGGACGGGGAGCGGGACAGAGACCGGGAUCAGGGUCGGGACCAGGACAAGCACAGGGACCGGGAUCAGGACAGGAAUUGGAACCAGGAUCUGCGGCCUUCUUUCACCCCGCCAGCCACGGGUUCCGCUGUGGGGCUGCCGGGGCCGGGCCGGGCGGCCUCGCCCCAGUGUCCCAGGGAGCUGAGCGGAGUUGUCACCUCGGGGGAGGAGCGGCUGCCGCGCUUUGCCGAGGAGAAAAACUGA